UAGCAUGGUCGAUGCUUCUGGCAAUUCUCAAAAUUCCAAGUACGGUCACAUCCCCACGUGCAUUCUUCCAUUUCAAUUUUCCAUCCAAAAUGGCCAGUCGAGUUUUCUCUCAGCUAAAAUUUAACAAAAGGAACGCCACGAGGUAGCAGCAAACAACUGCAUUAAAAUGAAGUGGAAAAAUCUAGUUUCUGAUGGUUUUCUACCAGACAGAACACACGUGUCCAAAAGUAAGAGGUUCUAUAUGAGAGAAAAUGUUCUGGAUUUGGAUCUCAGCAUAGAUUGACGGACAUAAAGGGGAUAUGACUAAUAUUCAGCUUAAUUCUUGAGGCGA